rnacentral:lncRNA from 1 species
GAAGGGUGGACCAGGUGCCCCACAGGCAAGAGGUCCCAACUAUAGAUGAAGCACGCAGGCUACAGACAGGUCUUUUAUUGAAUCAUCUAAAUAUCACAGAUACUUAGGUCUGAGGAGUCAUCCAACAUCGUGUUUCUGUAGCUGGACAACUCUUAGAACCUCCUCAGCAGCCUGCGGAACUGUUCCUUUUUAGGAGACGUAGACAGCACCCCAACAUUUUCUGAUAUCCUUGUUUUUAACUAUUGCUGCUUGCUGAAUCAGAGCAGCUGAAUUUGAACAAGACUGAAACAAGCUCAAUGUCGCUUCCUUCAAAGAUUAAUUCGACAUUCUGGGCUUGA